rnacentral:rRNA from 1 species
CCCUUAGAUGUCCGGGGCUGCACGCGCGCUACACUGAAGGAAUCAGCGUGCUAAAACCAUUGUCGAAAGGCAUUGGUAAACCCAUUAAAAUCCUACGUGAUUGGGAUCGGGAAUUGCAAUUAUUUCCCUUGAACGAGGAAUUCCCAGUAAGUGUGGGUCAUAAGCUCGCGUUGAUUACGUCCCUGCCCUUUGUACACACCGCCCGUCGCUGCCCGGGACUGAGCCGUUUCGAGAAAAGCGGGGACUGCUGCUGUCGGGGCUUUCGGGCCUUGGCUUCGGUGGAAACCGCUUUAAUCGCAGAGGCUUGAACCGGGCAAAAGUCGUAACA